UGCUACUUUGCUGACGAGCGGCGGACGGGUGAGUAAUGCUUGGGAACAUGCCUUGAGGUGGGGGACAACAGUUGGAAACGACUGCUAAUACCGCAUAAUGUCUACGGACCAAAGGGGGCUUCGGCUCUCGCCUUUAGAUUGGCCCAAGUGGGAUUAGCUAGUUGGUGAGGUAAUGGCUCACCAAGGCGACGAUCCCUAGCUGGUUUGAGAGGAUGAUCAGCCACACUGGGACUGAGACACGGCCCAGACUCCUACGGGAGGCAGCAGUGGGGAAUAUUGCACAAUGGGCGCAAGCCUGAUGCAGCCAUGCCGCGUGUGUGAAGAAGGCCUUCGGGUUGUAAAGCACUUUCAGUCAGGAGGAAAGGGUGGUGGUUAAUACCCGUCAUGUGUGACGUUACUGACAGAAGAAGCACCGGCUAACUCCGUGCCAGCAGCCGCGGUAAUACGGAGGGUGCGAGCGUUAAUCGGAAUUACUGGGCGUAAAGCGUACGCAGGCGGUUUGUUAAGCGAGAUGUGAAAGCCCCGGGCUCAACCUGGGAACUGCAUUUCGAACUGGCAAACUAGAGUGUGAUAGAGGGUGGUAGAAUUUCAGGUGUAGCGGUGAAAUGCGUAGAGAUCUGAAGGAAUACCGAUGGCGAAGGCAGCCACCU
rnacentral:rRNA from 1 species